rnacentral:rRNA from 1 species
GAUGAACGCUGGCGGCGUGCCUAAUACAUGCAAGUCGAGCGAACAGAUGAGGAGCUUGCUCCUCUGACGUUAGCGGCGGACGGGUGAGUAACACGUGGAUAACCUACCUAUAAGACUGGGAUAACUUCGGGAAACCGGAGCUAAUACCGGAUAAUAUAUUGAACCGCAUGGUUCAAUAGUGAAAGACGGUUUUGCUGUCCCUUAUAGAUGGAUCCGCGCCGCAUUAGCUAGUUGGUAAGGUAACGGCUUACCAAGGCAACGAUGCGUAGCCGACCUGAGAGGGUGAUCGGCCACACUGGAACUGAGACACGGUCCAGACUCCUACGGGAGGCAGCAGUAGGGAAUCUUCCGCAAUGGGCGAAAGCCUGACGGAGCAACGCCGCGUGAGUGAUGAAGGUCUUCGGAUCGUAAAACUCUGUUAUUAGGGAAGAACAAAUGUGUAAGUAACUAUGCACGUCUUGACGGUACCUAAUCAGAAAGCAACGGCUAACUACGUG